rnacentral:rRNA from 1 species
CCUACGGGUGGCAGCAGUGGGGAAUAUUGGACAAUGGGGGGAACCCUGAUCCAGCCAUGCCGCGUGUGUGAAGAAGGCCCUCGGGUUGUAAAGCACUUUCAGUGAGGAAGAACACCUGGUGGUUAAUACCCAUCAGGAAAGACAUCACCCACAGAAGAAGCACCGGCUAACUCCGUGCCAGCAGCCGCGGUAAUACGGAGGGUGCGAGCGUUAAUCGGAAUUACUGGGCGUAAAGCGCGCGUAGGUGGCUUGAUAAGCCGGUUGUGAAAGCCCCGGGCUCAACCUGGGAACGGCAUCCGGAACUGUCAAGCUAGAGUGCAGGAGAGGAAGGUAGAAUUCCCGGUGUAGCGGUGAAAUGCGUAGAGAUCGGGAGGAAUACCAGUGGCGAAGGCGGCCUUCUGGACUGACACUGACACUGAGGUGCGAAAGCGUGGGUAGCAAACAGGAUUAGAUACCCCUGUAGUC